UACGUAGGUGGCAAGCGUUAUCCGGAAUUAUUGGGCGUAAAGCGCGCGCAGGUGGUUUCUUAAGUCUGAUGUGAAAGCCCACGGCUCAACCGUGGAGGGUCAUUGGAAACUGGGAGACUUGGAGUGCAGAAGAGGAAAGUGGAAUUCCAUGUGUAGCGGUGAAAUGCGUAGAAGAUAUGGAGGAACACCAGUGGCGAAGGCGACUUUCUGGUCUGUAACUGACACUGAGGCGCGAAAGCGUGGGGAGCAAACAGGA
rnacentral:rRNA from 1 species